GUUGCUUCUUGGCCUUUUGGCUAAGAUCCAGUGUAGUAUCUGUUCUUAUCAGUUUAAUUCUUGAAAAGAUGUGUGCCUUUGAAAUGAUGAAUAUCUUUUAAAUACUAAGAAUCUUA
rnacentral:snRNA from 1 species